UGCCUGCAUUGGUUUUACAUUACUGUAGUAUAAGGAAUGGAAUAUGUAGGUAUGAUUCAAGGUUACAUCUAUAUUCGUUUGAUGGGUAUGUCAUUAUAAGCAUGGCCACAAUUAUGAAUGACAACACUGUGCAUGUUCAUGUACGUAAUCAAUAUGUCCACGUUAAUGGCUACUU